CCUACGGGGGGCUGCAGUGGGGAAUAUUGCACAAUGGGCGCAAGCCUGAUGCAGCCAUGCCGCGUGUGUGAAGAAGGCCUUCGGGUUGUAAAGCACUUUCAGCGGGGAGGAAGGCGGUGAGGUUAAUAACCUCAUCGAUUGACGUUACCCGCAGAAGAAGCACCGGCUAACUCCGUGCCAGCAGCCGCGGUAAUACGGAGGGUGCAAGCGUUAAUCGGGAUUACUGGGCGUAAAGCGCACGCAGGCGGUCUGUCAAGUCGGAUGUGAAAUCCCCGGGCUCAACCUGGGAACUGCAUUCGAAACUGGCAGGCUAGAGUCUUGUAGAGGGGGGUAGAAUUCCAGGUGGAGCGGUGAAAUGCGUAGAGAUCUGGAGGAAUACCGGUGGCGAAGGCGGCCCCCUGGACAAAGACUGACGCUCAGGUGCGAAAGCGUGGGGAGCAAACAGGAUUAGAUACCCUAGUAGUC
rnacentral:rRNA from 1 species